rnacentral:lncRNA from 1 species
UUUGGUUUCGGUCUGGUAUGGAUGAGCUGAGUAUGGGAUAUGCUUAAGGUUUAGUUCUUGUAUCAAUAAUGUGGAAGGUCUCUGCUUUGGAUUGUGACAAGAGUGUCAUCCCCGGUUUUAUGAAAAUCCAAAUGGUUUAAUUGUGUUACGAUAUAGCUGGAGCUGAUGGAAGUGCCGGCUUAAGGUUGUGAGCUUUGAGGUCUUUGCUAAUUUGGUUCUUUGGUUCUUAGGAUAGGAAGUAAUUCAAGUCAACAAAUAAGAUUCUUCGGCUUGUUUCUAUUCUUAUUUUGAAGAUCGGCGCGCUCUUCCCUUGUGGUUGAUGGUUGCUAUCAUCAGGACAUCCACUUCAGUUCACUAAUAUGAGUUUCUAACCUUAAGUUUUAGUAACCCACCUUUAUGUUUUAUUCAUGCCUUUGUAAUUUCGUCUGGCUCUGGAAGGAUUGUGAUCCUUGCCGGCUUAUGGCUCCGGAAGGAAUGUGUUCCUUGCCGGCUUGUGUAAAAGCUUUCAUG